GGGUUGUGAGGUUAAGCGACUAAGCGUACACGGUGGAUGCCCUGGCAGUCAGAGGCGAUGAAGGGCGUGCUAAUCUGCGAUAAGCGCCGGUAAGGUGAUAUGAACCGUUAUAACCGGCGAUACACGAAUGGGGAAACCCAGUGUGAUUCGUCACACUAUCAUUAACUCAAUC
rnacentral:rRNA from 1 species